rnacentral:snRNA from 1 species
GUGCUUGCUUCCACAGCAUAUAUACCAAAAUUGUAACAAUACAGAGAAGAUUAUCAUGACCGCUGCACAAGGAUGACAUGAAAAUUCUGAAGUGUUCCAUGUUUUA